UCUACUUUUUGUUCUUCUGCAAAAGGAUUAGAUCUUUGGGGUUUUGGCUUGAUUAGCAAUCUUUUCUUCAGCUUAGAAGAGGGAACAUUGGUACCUCUCCGUCAACAUGUCUGUUCUUUUGAAUUUUCUAAUUUGUCUUGGGUUAUUUUCGUAAUUUUAAUAAUUUACAGCUCAACCUUAUUGCUUACCUUUUCUGUCGUUGGCCAACGCGUGCACUCCCAAUUGAUCAAAGCUAAAAACUCAAUUCAGAACUUGUUAAAAGCAUUCACUCCCAAAAUAAAAAUAACGAACAAAGGAAAGAGGACAACAUCAAUUGUCCCAAAAUCUAGCAUAUCUCACCUAAUAAUUCAACGCAAUUUGAGCAAUCAGCUUUUUCGAUUCACGCAUACCAUAAAGAGCAGGUUUUUUAUUUUAUAUAUGCUUUUCUGUUCUACUUUUUGUUCUUCUGCAAAAAGAUAAGAUCUUUGGGGUUUUGGCUUGAUUAGCAAUCUUUUCUUCAGUUUAGUCUUAAGAUUCGUUUCAGAAAGGUGAAAAUAAACUGAGGUUGAGUUCUGAUUUGUUAUCUAUUUUUGUUAAUUUGUUUAUUUUGGAUUUCUUAUGCGAAUUCUAAGUUCUCUUUAGUUUAUUUUAUUUUGCUACUUCCCUGAUCUGUGUACUACGAGGCUUCAUCUCCGCUCUUCAUCUGGUAAGAAUUUGCAUUUUAGAGAAAAAAUCUGUUUGACUUUCCCUAUUUCAAAUUUACAUACUUGUCGAUGCUCUGAAUAAAUGAGUUUUUGCUGCUUCGUUGGAACUGAAGAAAGGGGAGAAAUUUACAACGGUUCUUACUUUGAAUUUUAGGAUUUUUUACGGGAAUUUAUUGUGAAAUUUGGUGUGGAUUUAAGAAUUUUUACGAAAAAUUUAUUCUGGAAAUUGGUAUGUCGAAAUUGUUUUAAUUAUUCUUUGUGCCGGGGGGGGGGGGGGGGGAUAGUUACGUUCUAAAGAUUCUGUGUGUUGAAGAUUUUUUGGUAUUUGCAUCGAAAUAGUGUGUUUGAAUUUCUAAUUUUUGGUACAAUUUUUUCAACUUUAGUGGUAACGCACUGCUUUGGGCAAACCUUUAUAUCUAAGUUUUCAAUAAUUAAGCUUUAUUUGGACGAAAUACAUUCUCAACAUGAUCAAACACAACGAUAUCUUAGUAUAGUGCAAGUGCUACUUAUGCUGUUUUCAAAGUAUAGUCUACAACAGGUUAGAUUUUCUUUUAUGCCUUUGUAAGAAAUAAUUAUAUUUGGAAUGCAGAGUUGCACAAAGAAAGUUAAGAGAGUGCGACACCAAGUUAUCUUUGUUUGUUGAAUGAUUAUAAGCAUAAGUAUAUUAAUCUGCAUAAUCUUUUGUUACCAAGGAAUGUCAAUUAAAAGCAUUUUGCUACCUCUUGCCUUUUCGUAUACAAGUAUGCUAAACUUUGCUGAGUAGGCUAGCUGUGAUAUAACAAUCCACCUACAGAUAUUUCUCAUUGCUUUUCAUGGGAUUUCAUCUGGCUUUAUUCUGCUCUGUGAAUAUCAGUACUUCUGUUAAUAUCAAUACUUCUAUUGACUUCCGUAUCUUCUCCUUUGCUUCUCGAUUUCUCUCGAUGGUUUUAAUUUUUUGUCAAUAAUACUUCAGGUGAAACUCACUCCAUUAUUGUACCGACUAUUCUUUUUAUUUACUUUGCUUCAUAUUUCCUCAGCAGCAUAAGAGAAGAAGUUGCAAAUAGAUCACAUCUUCAAACGAUCAACUUAGAGUAUGUUUUUUUAAUUUAUUUAUGCAUUUCUGUUCUACUUUUUGUUCUUGUGCAAAAAGAUCAGAUCUUUGUGGUUUUUGCUUGAUUAACAAUUUUUUCUUCAGUUUAGUCUUAAGAUUCAAAGGUGAAAACAAACUAAGGUUGGGUGUUGAUUUGUUCUCUAUUUUUAUUAAUUUGUUUAUUUUGGAUUUCUUAUGUGAAUUCUAAGUUCUCUUUAGUUUUUUUUAUUUUGCUGCUAUCUACUUUCUUUAAAAGAAUUGGUCUUUAGAAGACUGAACCCCAAUAGAUUGUUAUAUUUCUAUUAUUUACCACUAGAAUGAACAACAAAAUUUGUUACUUAGGGUCCGCUGACGCCUUUUCUGAUUUGAAUGAUAUAAAUGCAGUCAUCUUGUGGUAAUAAAAUUGUGAAAAAAAUAUCUUCCGUCCAAAGAAACAAACGGCCAUAUGCAGAACAUACAAACUCUGACAAGAAUGUCAGAAGACGUGAUAUCUAUGGGCAAAUAUUGUCUGAUAAAAAAGAGGCAAUGUUACUACAACACCGCACCAAAGAACUUGAGUGACAAAAAUGGAAUAGUUCCAUAAAAUCGGCAGUUGAUCCAGAUGAAAGAGUAAUGUAUCAACGUCACCCUAUGAUUCGAAAACAUAAUGCUCUUAUCAUAAGAGAGGCUUCUUCCGCUGACGAUGAAGUUGGCAGCAUCCAUGUGUUAAUACUUCCUCAAGUUCUUUUGAUAAAGGAAAAAAUGCUGCUCAUGCGUUUUCUGUAUUUGAAAGAGGAUCAACAUCGCGCACAUCUAAGGGACAACAAAAUGUGUUCCCUACUACCACAAGCAAAGGUUAGUAUUUCUUUUACGCUAGAGUAACACUAUUCAUUAGUAGAAUAUUUUUCAUGUCUUUUUUUAAAAAAUACUUAUAACAUACAGGUCAUACCUUGACCAAAGUAAUCCAUAAGAAAAAUAAUGACAAAGAUGCGGAUUAUGCACAAUUAAAACAUGUUCCAAAUUGUAAAUUUUGCAAUGCAAAAAGGUUUCAAUAUGAAUCUCCUGGAUUUUGUUAUGGCAGCGGGUGAGUUAAGUUAGUUUCGUAUGAGCUGCCUAAUGAAUUAUCAGAUUUGUAUAAAGGCAACACUGCAGAAGCUAAGCCCUUUCGAACCUACAUUAGAACAUACAAUAAUAUGUUUGCCUUUACUUCACUUGGUGUAACCAAUAAUAAAGAUUUGGCAAGGAGAUAUUAUGGUAUAUAUACGUUUCGAGUUCAGGGACAAAUGUAUCAUUUUAUACCUGAUUUACUUCCUUCUGAUAAAAAAGGAAGAAUAUGCAGUUAUACUUUUACGAUAAGGAAAAUGAAUUGGCUAAUAGAAUGGCUUGUUCAAGUAAUAUCAAUGAAUCAAUUAUAAAGAAACUUAUGCAUGUGCUCUCAAUUAAUUCAUAUUUCAUUUUUUAAGAAUCUUUGACAAAUGUUCCGAUACUAUUUGAUUAUUAUAUCGCGCUUAAAUGUGAACCAAAGUUAGAUCAACGUGUAUAUAAUCUACCAAAUACAACAUAGGUGGCUGGAAUAUGGGUACAUGAUAAUGUUGCCGAUACUAUUUCUACACCUCAUAUUCGUAUAUACACAUGUAGUGACAAGACUCAGUCAGUAAAGUAUUAUUAUGGAUGUUAUGACCCAUUACAAUACCCGUUAUUAUUUUCAUACGGUCAAAAUGGAUGGCAUUGUAGUAUUAAAAAGAUCGCACGAAGAGAUCAGCGUUAUUGUAAAUAUGAAGAAUUACCAAGUGUAAAUAACAUGUGUUCCAUUGAUGGAUUUCUUGAUAUGGAAGCUCAGACUAUGGAAAAAGUAAAACGAAAAAGAGAGACGGUUUCUUGCCGUGAGUAUUAUUGUUACAAAUUCCAGAUAAGAGAGGAUGAAAAAAUGAAGUCUUACAUUGUAGAAGAUUAUUUCAACAAUUCAUAGUAGAUGUGUUCAUAAGGCUAGAAACACAAAUAUUAGAUUUUUAUUUUUUUAAUCAAGAUUUGUUUCGAAUAGAUGUGCUACAAGGACUUAUUGAUUUUUUAAGACUUGGUGAAAAGGAAGCUUCCAAGAUUGGCAAGAAAACAUUCCUCCCUGUUACUUUUAUAGGAGGGCCAAGAGAUAUGCGUCAACGAUAUAUGGAUGCUAUUGCAUUAGUGCAACGUUUUGAAAAACCUGAUAUUCUUUUAACUAUGACAUGCAAUCCGUCUUGGCCAGAAAUAAACAACACUUGUUAUCAACGGAUGAACUCAAAAUAGACCUGAUGUAGUAUCACGAGUAUUCAGAGCAAAAGUAGAAGAAUUAAAAGCAGAUAUCUUGAAAAGAAAAAUCAUUGGAAAAGUUGUUGCUUUUAUGUAUACUAUAGAAUUUUAAAACGUGGUCUUAUGCAUGCUCAUUUUCUUAUCAUACUUAGUGAUGAAUACAAAUUAUUAA